rnacentral:lncRNA from 1 species
UUACGAGUAUAUGUAUAUAUAUGGGGAAAACACAAUCGAAAUAACAAAUUUACCUAAUAACAAAACAAAUGAAUAUAUUCAAGAAAGACUAAGAAAAGCUUAAAUAAAUAUGGAAGAUUAAAAAUUUUAAAAUGUUUAAGUAAUAGAAACGAUCCAUAUAUAAACAACAAUGUUGCUUAUGCCAGUUUUACAAAAAAGCAGAUAUGUAUAAAUGUAUACGAAAUGUAAAUAUAAGAUUACCUUUAUCAUUACAACAUAAAAUUUUAAAAUUUAAAAGCUUAUAUUCUAAUAAAAGUAACGAUUAUAAUUAUUUUUUUAAACAAGAUCAUUAUAAUUACAGUUCAAUAAAUAUAGCGUUAAAUUUAUUUAAAUAUUUACAAUUUCAUAAUUGUUUUUUAAAUAUUAAAGACAUAUAUAAAUAUGUAUUUGAAUAUUCGUAUUAUCCUCAUAAAAUUAUUAGUUCAGGUAUAUCUAUAUAUAAGGUAUUUAACAGUUGGCUUAACUUUAUUAACUUCUUUGAAGAACUUUUUAUCAAAACAAAUAAAAACAAUGAAAUAUUAAUUAGUGCGAAUAUUAUAUCCGAUCAAAAUUUAUGUAUAUAUUUAAAUAACAAAUUAAUCGAAUUAAAAAAAAAAACGAACUCGAUUAACUCUGUACACUGGAGACAACAUUCUUUACAAUUACCACAAGAUGUAGAAGCUAAGUUAAACAAUGAACAUCCACAAAAAUUAAAAGAAGAAAUUCAAAUUUUAUCAAGAACGAAAGAUUUUUACAAGAUUCAUGAUGAACGUCAUUUAUUUAAAUUAAAACUCAACAAAGAGAGGAAAGAAAAAAAAGGAUUACUAAAAAAUAAAAACACAAAGUAA